GAUGCUUGCAUCCGCUGACGACCGGCGCACGGGUGCGUAACGCGUAUACAAUCUACCUUUUACAGGGGGAUAGCCUUUGGAAACGAAGAAUAAUACCCCAUAGUAUUAUAGUUUGGCAUCGAAUUGUAAUUAAAGUUUCGGCGGUAAGAGAUGAGUAUGCGUCCUAUUAGCUAGAUGGUGUGGUAACGGCACACCAUGGCAACGAUAGGUAGGGGCCCUGAGAGGGGGAUCCCCCACACUGGUACUGAGACACGGACCAGACUCCUACGGGAGGCAGCAGUGAGGAAUAUUGGACAAUGGGCGAGAGCCUGAUCCAGCCAUGCCGCGUGCAGGAAGACUGCCCUAUGGGUUGUAAACUGCUUUUGUACGGGAAGAAACCCGUCCUCGUGAGGGCGGCUGACGGUACCGUAAGAAUAAGCAUCGGCUAACUCCGUGCCAGCAGCCGCGGUAAUACGGAGGAUGCAAGCGUUAUCCGGAAUCAUUGGGUUUAAAGGGUCCGUAGGUGGAUCGGUCAGUCAGAGGUGAAAUCCUGCAGCUCAACUGUAGAACUGCCUUUGAUACUGCCGGUCUUGAAUUAUUGUGAAGUGGUUAGAAUAUGUAGUGUAGCGGUGAAAUGCAUAGAUAUUACAUAGAAUACCGAUUGCGAAGGCAGAUCACUAACGAUAUAUUGACACUGAUGGACGAAAGCGUGGGGAGCGAACGGGAUUAGAUACCCCGGUAGUCCACGCCGUAAACGAUGGUCACUAGCUGUUCGGACUUCGGUCUGAGUGGCUAAGCGAAAGUGAUAAGUGACCCACCUGGGGAGUACGUUCGCAAGAAUGAAACUCAAAGGAAUUGACGGGGGCCCGCACAAGCGGUGGAGCAUGUGGUUUAAUUCGAUGAUACGCGAGGAACCUUACCAGGGCUUAAAU
rnacentral:rRNA from 1 species